AGGAGCGAGUGCAGAGAGCAAACGCCUGCAGGGCCAGAGCUGCCCAGGGGUGCGAUGGACUCCGGACCUCCCCUUGUUAAUGUGUCUCUCCUGACUUAAUGGGUCAUCUUUAAAGAAUCAUCCUCAAUUCUGUGGCAAUAAAAAUAAAAACAAAUGACCUUCCCUUUCACCUUGCAAGCCUCUCGCAGAAAGCCCCAGGAAGAGCCUUGCCAGGACAGCUGAGAAGACAAUUAAUAACCGUGGGUGAUGGAUGAGGUGCACGUGGCCCGCUCCUCCGCUUUUAUCCCUCUUCUCUUCUGCUGCCAGGUGAUUGCUGAUUAAGAGGAAUACUAUCACUCACAAUAUUGAACACAGUGCCUGGUCCCGGAAAACACUCAAUAAACAGUGUCAUGAAUAUUAA